CCCUGGCUCAGGACGAACGCCGGCGGCGUGCUUAACACAUGCAAGUCGAGCGGUAAGGCCCUUCGGGGUACACGAGCGGCGAACGGGUGAGUAACACGUGGGUGAUCUGCCCUGCACUUCGGGAUAAGCCUGGGAAACUGGGUCUAAUACCGGAUAUGACCAAAGGCUGCAUGGCUUUUGGUGGAAAGGUUUACUGGUGCAGGAUGGGCCCGCGGCCUAUCAGCUUGUUGGUGGGGUAAUGGCCUACCAAGGCGACGACGGGUAGCCGACCUGAGAGGGUGACCGGCCACACUGGGACUGAGACACGGCCCAGACUCCUACGGGAGGCAGCAGUGGGGAAUAUUGCACAAUGGGCGAAAGCCUGAUGCAGCGACGCCGCGUGAGGGAUGAAGGCCUUCGGGUUGUAAACCUCUUUCAGCAGGGACGAAGCGAGAGUGACGGUACCUGCAGAAGAAGCACCGGC
rnacentral:rRNA from 1 species